CCUACGGGAGGCAGCAGUAGGGAAUAUUGCUCAAUGGGGGAAACCCUGAAGCAGCAACGCCGCGUGGUUGAUGAAGGUUUUCGGAUUGUAAAGUUCUUUCGUUAGAGACGAUAAUGACGGUUACUAACAAAUAAGCACCGGCUAACUCCGUGCCAGCAGCCGCGGUAAUACGGAGGGUGCAAGCGUUGCUCGGAAUUACUGGGCGUAAAGAGGGCGUAGGCGGGAUAGUAAGUUAGGUGUGAAAUCCUAUGGCUUAACCCUCGAACUGCAAUUGAAACUGUUAAUCUAGAAUUAGGGAGAGGUAAGGGGAAUUCUUGGUGUAGGGGUGAAAUCCGUAGAGAUCAGGAGGAAUA
rnacentral:rRNA from 1 species